AACUUUCAACAACGGAUCUCUUGGUUCUGGAUCGAUAAGAACGCAGCGAAAUGCGACAAGUAAUGUGAAUUGCAGAAUUCAGUGAACCAUCGAAUCUUUGAACGCACAUUGCCAGCACUCUGGCGGAUGCCUGUCCGAGCGUCAUUUC
rnacentral:rRNA from 1 species